rnacentral:misc_RNA from 1 species
GAUGAAGAACGCAGCGAAAUGCGAUAAGUAAUGUGAAUUGCAGAAUUCAGUGAAUCAUCGAAUCUUUGAACGCAUCUUGCGCUCCUUGGUAUUCUGAGGAGCAUGCCUGUUUGAGUGUCAUUAAAUGCUCAACUACACUGACUUUGAAUUGGUGUGGCUUGGAUUUGGGGGGAAAAUUGUUGUGGGCUUUUUGUAUAGUCUGCUCCCCUGAAAUUGAUUAGCGGUACCUUUGUGGAACUGUCUACAGGUGUGAUAAUUAUCUACAUCUUAGACAUCUGCUGGAAUGCUGCUUUCUAAACCUUACUUGUAUUGACAAUCUUGACCUCAAAUCAGGUAGGACUACCCGCUGAACUUAAGCAUAUCAAUAAGCGGAGGA